CAAGGGAGGGUAUUAUUUUUAGGGUGGGGGAAACUUGGGCUUGUUUAGAUGCUGAUUAAAGCAAUCAGUAGCAAGUGUGACAACAGGAGAGAGAAGAGACCUACAACAGAGCAAAGUCAAUCAGACUGUAAGAGAAAUAGAGCCUUAGAACUGACCUUGGCAAUGAGCAAUCUCUUUAAUUAUGAUGGAGAGGAAAGGAGGAGGAAAUGGGCAUCUCUGCAGGUAGAGUUUAACUCCCAGACACCAACUGUAGUCCCAGGAGACACUUAGCCAAGCUCCAGUGAGCAGGUGAGCCCCACUUCAGAAGUUUGGCGAAGUUCAACAGCACCAUGAAAGGACUUUGAAUGGAAUUGGCCAGAUUUCCCCAACACGUCAAUAACCGUUGAAAGGG